UACGGAGGAUGCGAGCGUUAUCCGGAUUUAUUGGGUUUAAAGGGUGCGUAGGCGGAUUUUUAAGUCAGCGGUGAAACGCAAGGGCUCAACCCUUGACCUGCCGUUGAAACUGGAGGUCUUGAAUGCGGAUGCUGUGGGAGGAAUGUGUGGUGUAGCGGUGAAAUGCAUAGAUAUCACACAGAACGCCGAUUGCGAAGGCAUCUCACAAAUCCGUGAUUGACGCUGAGGCACGAAAGUGUGGGGAUCAAAC
rnacentral:rRNA from 1 species